UACGUAGGGGGCAAGCGUUGUCCGGAUUUAUUGGGCGUAAAGAGCGUGUAGGCGGCCAGACAGGUCUGCUGUGAAAACUCGAGGCUCAACCUCGAGACGCCGGUGGAAACCGUCUGGCUAGAGUCCGGAAGAGGAGAGUGGAAUUCCUGGUGUAGCGGUGAAAUGCGCAGAUAUCAGGAGGAACACCAAUAGCGAAGGCAGCUCGCUGGGACGUUACUGACACUGAGGCGCGAAAGCGUGGGGAGCGAACAGG
rnacentral:rRNA from 1 species